UACGUAGGGCGCAAGCGUUUAUCCGGAAUUAUUGGGCGUAAAGAGCUCGUAGGCGGUUUGUCGCGUCUGCCGUGAAAGUCCGGGGCUCAACUCCGGAUCUGCGGUGGGUACGGGCAGACUAGAGUGAUGUAGGGGAGACUGGAAUUCCUGGUGUAGCGGUGAAAUGCGCAGAUAUCAGGAGGAACACCGAUGGCGAAGGCAGUCUCUGG
rnacentral:rRNA from 1 species